GGGGCUAUAGCUCAGUUGGUAGAGCGCGUCGUUCGCAAUGACGAGGUCAGGAGUUCAAUUCUCCUUAGCUCCA
rnacentral:tRNA from 1 species